rnacentral:rRNA from 1 species
UACGUAGGGUGCAAGCGUUAUCCGGAAUUAUUGGGCGCAAAGAGCUCGUAGGCGGUUUGUCACGUCUGCUGUGAAAACUGGAGGCUCAACCUCCAGCCUGCAGUGGGUACGGGCAGACUAGAGUGCGGUAGGGGAGAUUGGAAUUCCUGGUGUAGCAGUGGAAUGCGCAGAUAUCAGGAGGAACACCGAUGGCGAAGGCAGAUCUCUGGGCCGUAACUGACGCUGAGGAGCGAAAGCAUGGGGAGCGAACAGG